UAAAUUAAAGUGGAAACCCUAGGUUUAUGCAAGUCUUUCUCUAUUUGAAAUGUGUUCACAUGUUUGAAAACCUCAAAACAAAAAUGUGUGGACUUUCAACUUUUAUUAGGAAGGCCACUAAAUAUUUUAUAUAAAGUUUGCAGUUAUUUUGAAUCUCUCAAAAGGUUGCGAAAAUAGAAAAUGAUAUGGAAAUAUGGCCUGUUUUUAAAUUUCCCCGGAAAUCUCCAAGACAUAGGGGGUUUUCUGAAAACCCACCCCUUGUCUUCUACCUACAGCCACACAGGCUCCUGCCUGUCGCCGCCUGCGUCGUCGAUCCCCGAAGGGAUUCGCGCCGCCGCUCGCCGCCCCUGGGCGGGGAUAAGCCUCCACGACGCCCUGCCCUCUCCCCUCACUCACCUUCCCUUCCUCGCUCACUCGCGGAGCUCUCCUGAAACCCUAGCACGGCUGCCGUUCAGCACCGCCGCUGCCGGCCGCCCGAAGCUCCGGCGAGCAUCCUGGAGGCUUUGCCUUGUCAGGUGCUACCUCCACACCGAAGGAAUCGACGCGGGUGGCCAGGAAUCGACGCCGCCGUCCGCGUCUUCCCGAACGUCGGCUGGCCUUGUCAUCGCUAUCUGACCUCUCCGGCCACUCAAUGGCGUUCAUGAGUACGAGUCCGAGACGAUGAAGAUCAACAACACCGAAGAUCAAUAAUUGUCCACCGACGAACAAGUCAAGCAUGGGAUCUUCGAAGAUCCACUUCAUUUUUGUCAGGGACAAAGGCAAGCCCUAGCCUGGUUCAUAUAUGUUUUCGAAAUGCUUUUACUUCUGGUUCCUACAUAUUGCACACGAUUCAACUGUCUUUUAUCGAUAGGUAGAGUUAUCCUAUCAAUUGCAUGUUCCACCCUUGUAGCCUCAAAUACCUGAUCCACUGCUCCUAGCAUAACUAGGUUUGGCAUGUGUGCAUCGCUAGAGCCUUUAUCUCUUUAUGCUUAGUUUGUUACGCUAUUACUCCGGUCUUCGGACUGGAGCCUUACAAUGAAAUGAAUCUAGCAUGACAGGUUGACGUGGUAAGUAUAGAGAUGUUGUUAAACAUGAUUAAAGGCUCAGACGAGAGGCCACAUUGGGAUGUGGUGGGUUGUUUCGUUUCUGCCGACCCUAGGAUGCGAGUUCUCGCCUCUUGAACCAAGACCGAGCGUACAACCACACGAGGCCCUAUUAUGGUACCCUCUCGACUCACUAACUUGCCUAGUAGAUUCCAUGAGUCACAUAGUUUGCGCGUUAUUUGGUCAUAUGCAUUGAAAAUGUUUGUGAAAAGGUGCAUAGCAUACAGGUAGGUAAGCGUGGCCGUGGUGGCUGGGGUUAGAGUCCCUGGAGAAACCCACCUCGCCUCACAUCGUUAAGGACCGACUUCGGGACUUGACCCGUUACGGCGGAACAAUCCUUAGCGCGUGACUCAUGGUCUCGGCGACAGCAAGGUAAAGGUCGUGGUCAACCACCCUCUGCCGGCUUUCCAAGGAAGAGAGCUUAUAGCUUGGCAUUAAGAGUCGGUUGGCACGUGUGGGUAAAGUUGUGCACCCCUGCAGGGUUAAAUCUUUUCGAAAAGCCGUGUCCACGGUUAUGGACGACUUGGGAACGGACGUGGAGAUCAUAGAGAACAUGAACCUAAUCGUAAAACUUGGCAACCAAUGUGUGUUUACGGAUACCUUCUCCGGGUGUUGAGGGGGUGAUCCGAGGAUAGUGGUUCGAGAUGAUGAAGAUUGGUGGAGACAAUAUGAUGAUCAAUAAAGAUAAAGAUAUCGCUCUCUUAUCCCCUUUUAAAGGUUCUAAGUAGUCGAGCUUCUCUUCUCUCUUAUCUUACAAAGGAAAAUUGGCUUUACGCAAAAGAAGCUCCACAGAAAGUCCGCAUACCCGCUUUGCUAAAAGGUUGUACUAAGUCUUGCUGAGUCUCUGUACUCAGCUUUGCAUGCCUUUGUUUCAGACGAAGUCGCUCCAACAGAUGGUGGUUUCUAGUCGACAUCGACGAGUAGCUUGGGGUUCCCAGGUGGCAGCCUGGAAUCUAUGGGCUGGGACGUCGCCGUUAUGCUCCUGGCCUCUUAGGCCUUUUGCUAUCUUGCUAUGUAUAAUAGCAUAACUUUGCUUCCGUUGAUUGAUGUAUGCCAGGUCAGUGACCUCUGCUUGUAAUGCUUUGGUUCUUCGCUCAGUUAUGAGCUUGUAUUACUUCUUGAGUC